rnacentral:rRNA from 1 species
UGCGUAGACGGUUAUUUAAGUCGGGUGUGGAAGCCCCGGGCUCAACCUGGGAAUUGCAUUCGAGACUGAAUAGCUAGGGUACGGUAGAGGGAAGCGGAAUUUCCGGUGUAGCGGUGAAAUGCGUAGAUAUCGGAAGGAACAUCAGUGGCGAAAGCGGCUUCCUGGACCAGUACCGACGUUCAGGCACGAAAGCGUGGGGAGCAAA